rnacentral:rRNA from 1 species
GAUAAACGCUGGCGGCGUGCUUCAGGCAUGCAAGUCGAACGGUUCAUAGGCCUUCGGGCUUAUGGAUAGUGGCGGACGGGUGAGUAACACGUAAGCAACCUGCCCCGAAGUGGGGAAUAACUGACCGAAAGGUUAGCUAAUACCGCAUGUGAUGGCGUUUCCCUGGAGAUGUCAUUAAAGGCUUCGGUCGCUUCGGGAGGGGCUUGCGGUCGAUUAGCUAGUUGGUGGGUAACGGCCUACCAAGGCAACGAUCGAUAGCUGGUCUGAGAGGACGGACAGCCACACGGGGACUGAGAUACGGCCCCGACUCCUACGGGAGGCAG